CAAUGUUCGAAUAGUCAGCCGAUCCGCGACGAGGGUAAAUAUUAAUUAGCAGCUAUGAUUAGCAUCGUUAAUUAUCGUAUAAAUCCAAUCGCGUCGCGUGUCCCGACAUCGUGAUCGCGAUCGCACGUGCGAGAUUGAUUUCGUGAUCGUGAUCGCACGCGCGAAAUUGACUUGUCGCUCACGAAUCUCGCUCGACUUUCCUUCGUCCUUCGCGUCCCUCGCGUGACGUCACAGCUCCCCCUUGAAAAUUCGCGCGCUUGAGUUAUCGAGGACGGAUCGCGAGAGUCACUGGGCGCUUAUGACGCCGAAAUUUUUCGUGUUUUUCGGCUUCGUCGGGGUCGUAUUUCCGGUCAUCGCGGGCGAUCGCGCAUUUCCUGUCGUAUUUUCGUAUCAUUGUGUCGAAGUAUCGUAUAUUAGGUUCGUAAUUCUCAUAAAAAUUGCAGGUCGUAACCAAUAACACGGUUGCGCUGCCAUUUGCUAUAUUUUCAUAUCGAAGGUUCCUCUUUAAAACUUCCUCGUGAAUCGGAAACUUCCUCGUCGAGUCGGAACUCCCGAGUGCGUCGCGAGGGAGCUCGUCAUCGUCGUCCUCGAAUUAAUUAGCUCUCGCGUUUUAUCGGAAGAUUGUCGAAGAUUGUGAUAGCUAAGACCCGGGUGUCGUGAACAAAAAGUAACGCGAGUGUACGUGUUUCGAAGCUUCUACGAGGAGGCCCGGGGUGGCAUCGGGCAACGGCGGAGCAACUGUACGGAACAAGGAGGAAUCAGGAGGAAUGGAAGAAAAGAGAGGAGAAAAGGAGUAUCAUCCAGUAACAGCAGAACAACAUAUAUAUUUAUGUUUACAAUUCUGUUGCUGCGCAUCGUUUUG